GACGAACGUUGGCGGCGUGCUUAAUACAUGCAAGUCAACUGAAGCAGUGGUAGCAAUAUCGCUGUGGAGGUGGCGCACGGGUGAGUAACACGUAGGUAAUCUGCCUUCAGGUCUGGCAUAACUCCGGGAAACCGGGGCUAAUAGCAGAUGAUGCAGCGGCUCGACAUCGAGACAGUUGUUAAAGCUAUGGCGCCUGAAGAUGAGCCUGCGUCUGAUUAGCUAGUUGGCGGGGUAACGGCCCACCAAGGCAACGAUCAGUAGCUGGUCUGAGAGGAUGAUCAGCCACACUGGAACUGAGACACGGUCCAGACUCCUACGGGAGGCAGCAGUAAGGAAGAUUGCUCAAUGGGAGAAAUCCUGAAGCAGCAACGCCGCGUGAGGGACGAAGGGCUUUUGCUUGUAAACCUCUGUAGUGAGAGAAAAAAAUCCCAAUCUUUGGGACAUGAUGGUAUCUCAAAAGUAAGCCCCGGCUAACUACGCG
rnacentral:rRNA from 1 species